AUUGAACGCUGGCGGCAGGCCUAACACAUGCAAGUCGAACGAGUGGCGGACGGGUGAGUAAUGUCUGGGAACCUGCCCGAUGGAGGGGGAUAACUACUGGAAACGGUAGCUAAUCCCGCAUACCAUCGGAUGUGCCCAGGUGGGCUUAGCUAGUAGGUUGGGUAAUGGCUAACCUAGGCGACGAUCCCUAGCUGGGCUGCGAGGAUGACCAGCCACACUGGAACUGAGACACGGUCCAGACGCCGACGGGAGGCAGCAGUGGGGAAUAGUGCACAAUGGGCGCAAGCCUGAUGCAGCCAUGCCGCGUGUAUGAAGGAGGCCUUCGGGUUGUAAAGUACUUUCAGCGAGGAGGCGUUACUCGCAGAAGAAGCACCGGCUAACUCCGUGCCAGCAGCCGCGGUAAUAC
rnacentral:rRNA from 1 species